rnacentral:rRNA from 1 species
UACGUAGGGGGCGAGCGUUGUCCGGAGUUACUGGGCGUAAAGCGCUUGUAGGCGGUCCACCAAGUUUGGGGUGACAGUUGCCGACUUAAUCGGCAAAGUGCCUCAAAGACUGGCGGACUUGAGGGCCACAGAGGGACAUGGAACUCCAGGUGUAGUGGUGAAAUGCGUAGAUAUCGGAAGGAACACCUGUGGCGAAAGCGGCUCACUGGACCAUUACUGACACUGAGGUACGAAAGCUAGGGGAGCAAACAGG